rnacentral:lncRNA from 1 species
AGGGCUGAAGACUCAGCCCAAGACUUGGCUUCUGGCUUGUAAAUUUCUUCAAUUUCAUAUGGGCCUUCUCACCUGUAGGCUUUUUCCGAGCUGGAUUUACCGUAAGGAUAAGACUCUGAGCUGUGCUCCUUUACGGGUUUUGACCCCAUUAGGUCCUCAGCCUGAGCUCGGUUUUUAACAGUUGACCAGUCGUCCUCAGUUUUCUUUUCAUUACUUCAUGCAUAUGAUCUCAGGCGUAUAGCCUUUGUAUAAUCAAAGUAAAAUGGAUCAUGUACCUUUUAAGGGGAUAAACAGGGCUGGCCUUCUUAGUUUUAGCUCUGUUCCGACAGGAUUUGAGGCUGAGGCCUUAUCUUCUCACGCCAUUGGACCUUUUCUUAGCUUAUAGGAGGUGUGUUUUCUUCAGUUUGAUUUUUGAGCUUUAUGAGCUCGGCUUUCU